rnacentral:rRNA from 1 species
CGAAUACCGGAGAAUGUUAUCACGGGAGACACACGGCGGGUGCUAACGUCCGUCGUGAAGAGGGAAACAACCCAGACCGCCAGCUAAGGUCCCAAAGUCAUGGUUAAGUGGGAAACGAUGUGGGAAGGCCCAGACAGCCAGGAUGUUGGCUUAGAAGCAGCCAUCAUUUAAAGAAAGCGUAAUAGCUCACUGGUCGAGUCGGCCUGCGCGGAAGAUGUAACGGGGCUAAACCAUGCACCGAAGCUGCGGCAGCGACGCUGAUGCGUUGUUGGGUAGGGGAGCGUUCUGUAAGCCUGCGAAGGUGUGCUGUGAGGCAUGCUGGAGGUAUCAGAAGUGCGAAUGCUGACAUAAGUAACGAUAAAGCGGGUGAAAAGCCCGCUCGCCGGAAGACCAAGGGUUCCUGUCCAACGUUAAUCGGGGCAGGGUGAGUCGACCCCUAAGGCGAGGCCGAAAGGCGUAGUCGAUGGGAAACAGGUUAAUAUUCCUGUACUUGGUGUUACUGCGAAGGGGGGACGGAGAAGGCUAUGUUGGCCGGGCGACGGUUGUCCCGGUUUAAGCGUGUAGGCUGGUUUUCCAGGCAAAUCCGGAAAAUCAAGGCUGAGGCGUGAUGACGAGGCACUACGGUGCUGAAGCAACAAAUGCCCUGCUUCCAGGAAAAGCCUCUAAGCAUCAGGUAACAUCAAAUCGUACCCCAAACCGACACAGGUGGUCAGGUAGAGAAUACCAAGGCGCUUGAGAGAACUCGGGUGAAGGAACUAGGCAAAAUGGUGCCGUAACUUCGGGAGAAGGCACGCUGAUAUGUAGGUGAAGUCCCUCGCGGAUGGAGCUGAAAUCAGUCGAAGAUACCAGCUGGCUGCAACUGUUUAUUAAAAACACAGCACUGUGCAAACACGAAAGUGGACGUAUACGGUGUGACGCCUGCCCGGUGC